UGAGGCGACAAAAUGGCGGCGGGCGGAGAGCGCGGGAAGGGCCCGCGGCGCCCUGAGGGCCGCUCGUUCCCUUCCCGUCCCCCUCACCGUCCCAUUUUGAAGUGUUUUUUUCCCCUCACAGCGUGAAGAUUUUGGGGUCAACGCUGCUCUUUCCUCCCCCUCCACACGCGCCCUCCCAGGUGGGUAUUUCGAUAGCUUGAUGCCUAAUUUCUCCCCCUCCACUUCUCUCCUCCGCAGGGGUUGCAAUCGCUGUCCUCACCGCGUGGAAAAUGCCCAAUUAAAAAAACAAAAACAAAAAAAAAAAAAAAAAAAAAAGCAAAACAACGCUAAAAAAGCCCCAAACAGCCGAGGACUGAGGGAAGGAACUGCCUCCUCACGGCCACCGUUCUGGUAAUUAAAAACAUACAUGUGGUGAGAUCAGAUGUGGUAAUACUGUUAAAAAGAAAAAAAAAAAAAUCCUGUCAUAUUCUUGUGCUGCAGCUGCAAUACCACACAUCUUUCUGUGCUUUUUUUUUUUAUUGUUUGUAAUGCUUCCUUACCUUUAUCCACACCACAGUGUAGCAUUGCCCCUCCUUUGUUAAAAGCCUCAUACCUAAAAUACCUUUUUUUUUUCUUUUAAAAUUAGAGAUUUAGGGCCGUGCAGGUGCUCUUUAUUCCCACAUGUCUCUAUAUAUCUCCUUAUCCCAGAGAUGGAUUGCAGAACAAAGCCACUCACCUACAACGCUAUGAUCCAAUUACACACAAUUACUCUCACUUUGGCCCGUACGUAUCUUGGAUUUUAUAUAUUUAUUACCUUUGUUUUCCUCCAUUGGCUUUCUACUGUCCUAAGAGCAAGAGGGAAAAAAAAUUACACGCACACACCCAAAAGAAAAAAAAAAAAGACGAAAAAUAAUAGUUAAAAAAGGUAAAAACAAGCAAAAUGCGACCAGCCGCCCAUUUGAUCAGUCCGUGGUGAAGAUUGGUGCCUGAAUGCUUUAUUUGUUCCACAGAGGUGUAGAUUUCCCUUGGGAUGUUGGGGAAAGAUUUCUUAAUUAAAGGAUAAAAAAAUAAAAAGUAAAAAAUAAAGCAGUGAAACAGAACCAAAAAGGAAAGCAAUAUUAAUUAUUUAAAAAAAAGAAAAAAAAAAAAAGAAGAAGGCAGCUGACUCUGCCAGUGCAGUCGGGCAGGCACUGAAUUCAUUGCACCGAAAUGAGGACGGAUGAGCUGAACUGAGUGGCAGGGCUUAGUGCAGCUCCGGGAGGAGGGCUCAGCUCCUUGUCCCACUAUCCAGCGCCGCACACACCACCAUUUGUGUGCUUUUGUGCUUUAUUUCCAGCCCCGCGGGCUGCCCUACGUGAUGCACGGAGCGACGUGCGUGCCCCGCUGCUGUGCAUUCCUCUCCCUUUUAUUGCCUGCUCUAUGGCUCAGCUCGCUUUUUUUUUUCUCCCCCCUCUGCGGGCAGCAGGGUUGCUCUGCUUUCCUCUCCCCAGCUCGGCUGCUGAUUCCAGAAGUUUCUACAGCAAAGGAAAUGCACGGGGGAGGGGAGCACCUACUGCGGAGCUUUGCCGCAGCCGGGCAGGCGUGGAGGAGGAGGAGGAUGCGGAGGAUGCACCACCUCCCUCUCUCUCUUUCUCUUCCCCCCUCCCUCUCUCUUUGGUUCAGGACGCUUUCCAAGCCUCUCCCCCUCGCUACAUUUCCCCAUCCUUGCAGAGGGUGCUGGGAGGUGUUUGCAAGUUGUUUUUUUUCCUUCCCCCCCCCCCCCACGCACACACACACUCCGUUUCCUCCCCCUUUGCUAAAUAAAUUAAAAGCAGAGAUGUCUCCUGAUGGAGAUGGAUGAGGUCACCAUGACUUCAAUGUGCACAGUCCAAGCAGUCACUUGUGAGCAAGGAGAGCAGGCCACUGUACCCUGUGGGAAUUGUACUACUUUUCUGUGGCAGUUUGGGAUAACUGAGGGCUUCCUUGGGAGUGUUGGACUUCUACCGCCACACGCUUUGGAUUGAAGAGUUACCAGAACGACAUCUGUGAGGUUUCCAAGCUAAACAAAACCUGAAUUUCUGGUGCAAAAAGCAACCUGGAAGACUGAAGCCCUCUGCCUAGAGGAUGAAAUGCUUCAUGUUUGGAAAAAAAACUAGCAGGCUUUGUCUGUGACAGCUCCUUUCCUGUGGAUGUCCUUCCAGCCAGGCUGCCCGCAGUGUGACAGCAGUGACCCUGUGUGAGGUUUCUUUGAAGGACCUGGGAGACUGCGUGGCUUUUUCUUGUCCCUCGGAGGUGCUUCCCUGGCAGGGAGGGAGGAAAAUGAUUGGCAGUGCUGUCACAGGAGGCAUGCUUACCUGGCUAGGGGAAAGCUUGGUGUGGAAAAGCCAGCUGGUGCAUGGUUUGGGGAAGGAGAGGUUCCUUUCUCUCCAGAAUGGAAUCCCUUAAGGAAGGUAUAGACAAGCAGUUCCUGCUCUUGGGGCUUCUGGCUGGUUAAAACAAAGAGCUGAGCCCAUUUCCAUGGAGAAAUGUAUAAUAGAGCACGUUGCAGUGCUUUUCCUUGCGUGUGCGUGGCUUGGUCACACGUUUAACUAAUAGAUGGUUUGCAUGCAAGAGGUUAUUGCUUUUUUAUACUUUCAAUCAGUCCAUCUCCAUUGGGCAGAGCAGCUUCACAGCCACCAGCACGGGGGAAACUGAGGCACGGGGCUACAGUGGGAUUACAGGCAGAGCCGGGGAUAAGGCUCAGGUUUGCCGAGGCUCAGACCGACGUGCGUCAGAGGGCUGAUUAAAUGGAGAGAUUUGCAAAGGGAAGUGACCUAUAGCUCCAUGGCCGGGACGGUGUGCUGGACUCGAUCCUUGUGGGCACCUUCCAACUCAAAGGGCAGUUUGGUCAGGGGUAGGGCUGGGUAAGCACGGCGAGCGCGGCCGACAGGGAGCGAGAUGUGGUGAGCUCCUUCCAUUGCCUUAGCCUGGAGCACAGCCAACCCGCGGGGCUCAUCCAGCACUGAACUUUGGAGUCGUUGCAGAUAAACAGCGCUAUAGGCUAAUAAAAGGCUCUGCCACGCAGGGCCCGGUCUGCCCGCACCGCAAUGACUUUGUUACGUGCUGACUGCAGUGAGGGACGGCGCUGGGUUUGCCUUCUCCUGGCCUUGGAUGGAGAGGAGCGGGCAGAACCUCGAGGCCUUUUGCCCCGCACCCAUUUCUGCACGGCAGCCCUUUACAUUUCACAGCGUGCUCCAUUUUUUUUCCUACUCCUAUUCCUUUUGUAGCACAGCCCCCCUUUUUUGCAACAGUCCCCCUUUCUUCCUUCGUACCGUAUGUUUUAUUUGCUUAUUUCUUUAUGUGCAAUCCCUUAAUCCAUCACCUUGCAUUGCAGCCCCGCUUUUCGGCAUGCAUCCCUUGCUUUCCACAACCCACCUCGUGCAUUUAUUACUUUCCAUCGCAGCUCCCGUUUCUGGCUCGCACCUCCUCUUUUUUUUUUUUUUUUUUUUUUUGGCCGUGCUUCCUUUAUCUAUGACUUCCCAUCCCAGCCCUGUUUGUAUCUGCCAUACAGUCCCUCCGUCACGUCGCGUUACACCGCGCUCUGCCCGCUCCGCUCCCGCAGCCCUCCACCGCUGCGC
ensembl:lncRNA